rnacentral:rRNA from 1 species
GCAGUGGGGAUAUUGCACAAUGGGCGCAAGCCUGAUGCAGCAACGCCGCGUGAGGGAUGACGGCCUUCGGGUUGUAAACCUCUUUUAGCAGGGAAGAAGCGAAAGUGACGGUACCUGCAGAAAAAGCGCCGGCUAACUACGUGCCAGCAGCCGCGGUAAUACGUAGGGCGCAAGCGUUAUCCGGAAUUAUUGGGCGUAAAGAGCUCGUAGGCGGUUUGUCGCGUCUGCUGUGAAAUCCGGAGGCUCAACCUCCGGCCUGCAGUGGGUACGGGCAGACUAGAGUGCGGUAGGGGAGAUUGGAAUUCCUGGUGUAGCGGUGGAAUGCGCAGAUAUCAGGAGGAACACCGAUGGCGAAGGCAGAUCUCUGGGCCGUAACUGACGCUGAGGAGCGAAAGGGUGGGGAGCAAACAGGCUUAGAUACCCUGGUAGUCCACCCCGUAAACGUUGGGAACUAGUUGUGGGGUCCAUUCCACGGAUUCCGUGACGCAGCUAACGCAUUAAGUUCCCCGCCUGGGGAGUACGGCCGCAAGGCUAAAACUCAAAGGAAUUGACGGG